rnacentral:rRNA from 1 species
ACGCUGGCGGCGUGCCUAAUACAUGCAAGUCGAGCGAAGUUUUUCUGGUGCUUGCACUAGAAAAACUUAGCGGCGAACGGGUGAGUAACACGUAAAGAACCUGCCUCAUAGACGGGGACAACUAUUGGAAACGAUAGCUAAUACCGGAUAACAGCAUAAAUCGCAUGAUAUAUGUUUAAAAGUUGGUUUCGGCUAACACUAUGAGAUGGCUUUGCGGUGCAUUAGCUAGUUGGUGGGGUAAAGGCCUACCAAGGCGACGAUGCAUAGCCGACCUGAGAGGGUGAUCGGCCACACUGGGACUGAGACACGGCCCAGACUCCUACGGGAGGCAGCAGUAGGGAAUCUUCCGCAAUGGGCGAAAGCCUGACGGAGCAACGCCGCGUGAGUGAAGAAGGAUUUCGGUUCGUAAAGCUCUGUUGUUAGGGAAGAAUGAUUGUAUAGUAACUAUAUACAGUAGAGACGGUACCUAACCAGAAAGCCACGGCUAACUACGUGCCAGCAGCCGCGGUAAUACGUAGGUGGCAAGCGUUGUCCGGAAUUAUUGGGCGUAAAGCGCGCGCAGGUGGUUUAAUAAGUCUGAUGUGAAAGCCCACGGCUCAACCGUGGAGGGUCAUUGGAAACUGUUAAACUUGAGUGCAGGAGAGAAAAGUGGAAUUCCUAGUGUAGCGGUGAAAUGCGUAGAGAUUAGGAGGAACACCAGUGGCGAAGGCGGCUUUUUGGCCUGUAACUGACACUGAGGCGCGAAAGCGUGGGGAGCAAACAGGAUUAGAUACCCUGGUAGUCCACGCCGUAAACGAUGAGUGCUAAGUGUUGGUCUCAUAAGAGAUCAGUGCUGCAGCUAACGCAUUAAGCACUCCGCCUGGGGAGUACGACCGCAAGGUUGAAACUCAAAGGAAUUGACG